rnacentral:rRNA from 1 species
CUUCCCAUUCCGAACAGGAAAGUUAAGGUCUAUAGCGCCGAUGGUACUGCAUGGGAGACUGUGUGGCAGAGUAGGACAUUGCGAGGU